AUACUUGUUACCGUGAUUACGAAGGCGGCUCCCCCAGGGCGAAGCUCUUCCAUUGCACCUCGGUUGGUUUGACCCCAGCGAUUAUUAUGUGGGUAACUCGUAGGCGCAAUUUUUGUAGC
rnacentral:snRNA from 1 species